AACGUUGUAACGACGAUCCGUCACUCGGCCGUUUUAUCGUCGCCGUGAAACCUUUGCGAAAGAGAUAAUACCGUGGGACAAGUAGGAACUUUCCGUAGUCGUUCGUCAUUGAUCGCGUCGUCGACGGGAAAAAUGUUUUCGCGAGUUCUACUCUCGUUUCUGCUUUCUUCGCUCGCUCUUUGCAUGGCGGCGGACGACGUGAAAACAACCACUAAAGCUAACGAAAAUUCCGUUCUAUCGGAAUCGGCAAUUCUCCUGACGGUUUCUGCUUGUUCAGCUGGAUCCGUCUUACUUGUCAUCAUUCCCUCGUUGAUUUAUCACAAACUCGUCCGGAGGGAUAUGUACGACGAUGUUUUCUAAACAAGGCCAACAUUUACAUCGAAUAGGGUAAAGGAUCCAUGUACCGUGCGUGGCAUGAAAGCUUUUGAAAAAUUUCAAUAUUUUUUAUUUAUUCUGAGAAUUUUAACUAAUUAUUAAGCAUUUCUAUAAGUUCGGUCCUUUACCUAUAAUAAUAAUAAUUAUUAUUAUAGAAAUUAGUUAAAAUUCUCAGAAUAAAUAAAAAAUUUUUUUGAAAUUUUAAUUAUUAUAAUAGUAAUAGCUUAAACAAAUCCGAGACAAUGCGAAGGGAUGUUAAAUAUAACCGAAUAAACGCGCAUCAAUUGCAUUGGGGAUUUCGUGACAUGACAACCACCGCUGUUCACAUUAUCCAAAUUUUCUACAUAUAUAUUUUAAGCAAAUUGGCUCAUCACGAGCCACAAGGGCUCUCCGGAUGAUCGUCCGCAUUCAUUUUUAACGAGGCUGGGAAAAUAUAAAAUUAUAUAUUCAAAAUUAUUUCGUUGCUCCGAUGGUAGAGAAUUUUUUGGCGAUCGUCGAAGGGUGAGAUAGGUAGGUUGAAAUAAACUUUCAAAGCCUGCGAAUGAUCACUGUUUGAAGUUCGCGUUCGUGAGGACUUGAUAACGGGAUUGCAGCGAGCCGAUGGAGGCUGCGUUUUCGUUCGUUGCAGCGAGCCGAUAAUUUCAGGGAAAUGGAGAACGUCGCGUCGCGUCGGUUUGGAUAACGGCAGCCUGCCGGCCCCCGUGUUUGUUAACGCACCCUAUUGAAUAAUAAUUCUCUCUGUCAACUAAAUCGAGUCGGAUAAUGAUAACGUCGACCUCGUUUAUUUACCAAAAAAUAAAUUAAACGAAGGAAUUAGAGAAUAUUGAAUAUCGAUGAAGUUUUUAUAUUGCCAUUUUAAUCCAAUUUUAAGCCUUCCCCUGAUACGUCAAGAUUGUUAAUUUUUGAUACUUUGAUACCAUUAGAAGUGUGAAUUGAAUACCUAGAUGACAGUAUCAAGAAUGAGAAAUCUCAUUUGCGUGUAACACGAAGUAGGAAAGAUUCGUUCGUUUAUGAAACGUGUCGAAAAAAAAAGAUUUACCGAUUUUGAACAUGACGAAAUGUCGAUCGUAAAAUCGCGUCUCUCGUCGAGGAAGCAGGCGCGAUAAUGUAAACCAGUGUACAUAAAAUUUUGACGGGGUUGAAAUGGUAAUAUAAAGUUUAAUGCGGCCUCGAACUUCCACGGAUUAUGAUCGAGGAAGGCUUAUCGUCGGAACUCUGGUAUUCCCUUUCUCAUCGCAUUGCAAAUUAGAAACGUUUCUUCGAGGCAUGACAAUGCGGAGGUUUUAUGCCUCGCAGAAAGCUCGCAGGAAUAUUUCGAAGGAACUCGCUUCACGAUCUAGCUGCCGCAACUUUUUUCCACCCGGUUCGUAUAUAUGCGUACAGUUUCAAUGUAUAAUUUCAUUCGACUCCGUGGAAUAGCACGGGAAUUAGGUGUCGUUGAGUGUUAUAAUUCUUUAUAUUUAUUGGAACAUGUAAUGUGCCCUCCAAAGUUGAAACUUGCCUCCGUCAACCGAGUUUAUCGAUCGUCCACUAAGAAAUAUUACAUUUUAAAUAAAUAAAAUAUUAUAUAUGAAAACAUGAA